UACGUAGGGGGCAAGCGUUGUCCGGAAUCAUUGGGCGUAAAGCGCGCGUAGGCGGCCAGAUUAGUCCGGUGUGAAAGUCAGAGGCUCAACCUUUGAAUGCCGCUGGAAACUGUCUGGCUUGAGUCCGGAAGGGGCGAGUGGAAUUCCUGGUGUAGCGGUGAAAUGCGCAGAUAUCAGGAGGAACACCAAUGGCGAAGGCAGCUCGCUGGAACGGUACUGACGCUGAGGCGCGAAAGCGUGGGGAGCAAACAGG
rnacentral:rRNA from 1 species